GGCCGGAACGGCUCGGUGUUCAUGGGGAGUUGGCCGUGUAUCAGCCAGCGGGCGAUGAGGAGUCCGGUCGCCGGUGCCAGGCCGAUUCCGGCGCC
rnacentral:tRNA from 1 species